AGGGCGAUGUCUGAAGGCCGCCCAGGGGCCCCAUCCCCUCACCUAGAUGUGGGCUAACCUAGGACCCAGACUAAGGUGGAGUUCCUACAAGUGACUAGAAUGUCAUGAUCAUCUCAUUGUCUAACAAGCCCUUUGUCCUCUGUGCUGGGAAGGCCUUAGCUGCUACUCAAAACUGACAAGUUGGACUCCUUUUUACUACUGCCUUGUUGCCAGCUAUCCGAGCGUGAAAGGCCGCAAAGCCGUGGGUGCUGGCUGUCCCACAUCACAGGCAUGGCAGGUGGCAGCCCAGACUGAACCAGAGCCUCACUUGAACAUGAGCAUUAGCCAAUGUAAUAAAAGUCUACCUUGCUUAAAGUGUAUCUGUUUUUCUGCUUACAAUGGCUUGCAAUGGAAGUGCAUGGUUUCCUGCUUCUAAUAAAAUCCUUUAAAAGCAAAAAAAAAAAAAAAAGAAAAGCAAAAACAGGCCAGACGGUGCUGUGAGCCACAUGAUAGGGUUUGCUGUUUCUGUUCUCCACUUAGGAAAGCAGGCACUAAAAGCAGGAAGGAGCACAGAGAUCUCUAUGUGGUGUUACAGGAUCCUGAGAGACUCGGCCAUGACAAAGAGGAAGCUGCUACAAGAGCCACUGAAGAAGGAGGUAAUGGUGGCCUAAACUAGAGGACAGCAAAGGAAAGUGGAAAAGCCCAAGUGUACACAGGUGUUAGACUCCAUAGUAUUUACAGACAGUGGUCAGGAUAUGAGCCAUGAGGACUAAAACAAUCUCACACAGCUUUUGAGAUCCUGCCUGAAUCACAGUUCACAAAGCUGACCCUUAACUGUUCUUAUAGUGACAGAAAACAGGGCAAGAAUACCAGGAAGUCCCUACCACGUGAAGUAGUAGUGCGUCCAUGCAGGGUUUACCUUGUCACUAUCUAUGAGAUAGAGGGCAUUAUACUAAACUAAAGGUUCCAGCUUCCCAUCUCCUCACAUCUCCUGUUCUUAGGGAAGAUUAAACAUGAUCCUUU
rnacentral:lncRNA from 1 species